rnacentral:rRNA from 1 species
GAUGAACGCUGGCGGCGUGCCUAAUACAUGCAAGUCGAGCGAACAGACGAGGAGCUUGCUCCUCUGGCGUUAGCGGCGGACGGGUGAGUAACACGUGGAUAACCUACCUAUAAGACUGGGAUAACUUCGGGAAACCGGAGCUAAUACCGGAUAAUAUAUUGAACCGCAUGGUUCAAUAGUGAAAGACGGUUUUGCUGUCACUUAUAGAUGGAUCCGCGCCGCAUUAGCUAGUUGGUAAGGUAACGGCUUACCAAGGCAACGAUGCGUAGCCGACCUGAGAGGGUGAUCGGCCACACUGGAACUGAGACACGGUCCAGACUCCUACGGGAGGCAGCAGUAGGGAAUCUUCCGCAAUGGGCGAAAGCUUGACGGAGCAACGCCGCGUGAGUGAUGAAGGUCUUCGGAUCGUAAAACUCUGUUAUUAGGGAAGAACAAAUGUGUAAGUAACUAUGCACGUCUUGACGGCACCUAAUCAGAAAGCCACGGCUAACUACGUG